AAUUAGGGAUUAGUUUUAGAUUACAGACAGAAAUCAAUGUUUAAGAAUGGUGUUUAAGAGAGAAAUAAAUUGAGAUACAUGCCAUGUGAGGAACAGCUGUGUCCAUUCCCCCACUUGAUAAAUACCCUUCUCAUCUCCCUUGCUCUGUCUUUUGACUAACUUCUUCUUCUUCUCCUUCUCCUUCUUCUUCUCUAUUUUGAAGUGAAAGAAACAAUGAUAAUAAAAAAGCAAACUUUCUCUCUCAAAAACCAGACUCCACAGAGCUUAGAGCUCUUCUUCUAAUGGCGUCUCUGAAGCCCUGAACACUGUUUCUCUCUUGUUUUUGAAUACCCACUAAGAGAAAAUGAAACCCCACUUCUCUCUUUUGCUUAUUUCUUUCACCUUUCUCUCUCUUCAACUGCAACUGCAGCUACAAGCUUCACCAGUUGUAGCAUCACCUUUUAGCUCCACAAACAAAGAUGGCCAGAAUCUUAUCAACUUCAAGAACGCUCUAGCCAACCCUGAUGAGCUGCCAACCUGGCUCCCUAACCAAAAUCCAUGUACGUUUUCUGGUGUAAAAUGCCAAGAAACAAACAGAGUCUCCUCUCUAGACCUCUCUUCCAUUCUUUUAAGCACUGAUUUUCGCGCUGUGGCUGCAUUUCUUUUGAGUCUUGACAAGCUUGAGAGCCUUUCUUUGAAAUCAACCAACAUUUCUGGUUCUAUUUCUUUCCCUUCUGGAUCUAAGUGCAGCUCAGCUUUGAGCAACUUAGAUCUAUCCCAAAAUGGUCUAUCAGGUCCUAUCUCUGAUAUAGCUGGUUUAGGUUCUUGUGCAUCCUUGAAAUACUUGAAUCUUUCUACCAACUCCUUUGAUUUUUCUGUCAAAGAUAAAUCAAAUGGGUUAAGGCUCAGCUUAGAGUCUCUUGAUCUUUCUUUCAAUAAGAUUUCAGGUUCGAACGUGGUGCCAUUCAUUUUAUCUGGAGGCUGCAAUGAGUUGCAGUACUUUUCUUUGAAGGGAAAUAAAGUUAGUGGAGAUAUUGAUGUUUCUUAUUGCAAGAAUCUACAGUUUCUUGAUGUUUCUUUAAAUAAUUUCUCUGUGAGCGUUCCCUCAUUUGGUGAUUGUUUGGCUCUGGAGCAUCUGGAUAUCUCUUCUAAUAAGUUUUAUGGUGAUCUUUCUCAUGCAAUUGGUGGUUGUGCUAAGCUCAGUUUCUUGAAUGUGUCCAGCAACCAGUUGUUGGGUCCGAUUCCCUUGCUUCCAACUGGGAAGUUGCAGUUUAUUUACCUUGGUGGAAACCAUUUUCAAGGGCGGAUUCCUUUUCAUCUCAUUGAAGCUUGUCCAGGUCUUGUUGAGCUUGAUCUUUCUUCAAAUAAUCUUACUGGUUUUUUCCCUGGUAGUUUUGCUGCUUGCACUUCACUGGAAUAUUUUGAUAUAUCUAGCAACAACUUCACUGGUGAAUUGCCGGUUGAUACUCUCUUGAAGAUGAGUAGCUUGAAGCAUCUUGAUUUUUCAUAUAACGUUUUCAGUGGUGGGUUGCCUGAUUCUUUGUCAAAGCUCAGCAGUUUGGAGUCCUUAGAUCUGAGUUCUAACAAUUUAUCUGGUCCAAUUCCUGCUGGUUUGUGUCAAGAUCCAAACAACAACUUGAAAGAACUGUUCCUUCAGAACAAUUUGUUUACUGGGUCUAUUCCUGCAAGUCUGAGCAACUGUUCUCAACUCACUUCACUUCAUUUGAGCUUCAAUUACCUUACGGGUACAAUUCCUCCCAGCUUGGGUUCCCUCCCUAAGCUUCGUGAUUUGAAGCUAUGGUUCAAUCAGCUCCGGGGAGACAUCCCGCCGGAGAUAAUGAACAUACAGACACUUGAGACUUUGAUUUUAGACUUCAAUGAGUUGACAGGAGUUCUUCCUUCUACUAUAAGUAACUGUUCAAAGCUGAACUGGGUCUCAUUGUCUAACAAUCAGUUGACUGGUGAGAUUCCAGCAUCAAUUGGACAGCUUUCAAGUCUUGCAAUUCUUAAACUAAGCAACAACUCGUUUUAUGGAAGAAUUCCACCUGAGCUUGGCGAUUGUGGUAGCUUGAUUUGGUUGGAUCUUAAUACUAAUCUCUUGAAUGGCACAAUACCACCUGAGCUAUUCAAACAGUCUGGCAAAGUUGCUGUAAAUUUUAUCACCGGAAAGAGAUUUGUGUAUCUUAAGAAUAAGAAGAGUGAACGUUGCCAUGGAGAAGGCAAUUUGCUAGAGUUUGCUGGAAUUAGGCCGGAAAAUUUGGAUAGAAUCUCCACUAGGGACCCCUGUAAUUUCACCAGAGUAUAUGGAGGUCACACACAGCCCACAUUCAAUGAUAAUGGUUCAAUGAUCUUUCUUGAUCUUUCAUACAACUUAUUGUCCGGCAGCAUUCCAAAGGAGAUUGGGACCAUGGCGUAUCUUUAUAUCUUGAAUUUGGGCCACAAUAAUAUUUCUGGCGACAUUCCUGAAGAGCUUGGAAACUUGGAUGGCCUUAACAUUCUUAAUCUCUCAAACAAUUCUUUGACAGGGAUGAUUCCUCAGUCCUUGACCCGGCUUUCAUUGCUUAAUGAGAUUGAUAUGUCCAACAAUAAUCUCACCGGAAUGAUUCCUGAAAUGGGUCAAUUUGAAACAUUCCAAGCUGCCAGCUUUGCUAACAAUUCAGGCCUCUGCGGGAUCCCGCUUCCUAAAUGUGGAUCAGGACCGAGCACAAGCGCAAAUUCUCGGCAUCAGAAGUCACAUAGGAAACAAGCAUCUCUAGCAGGGAGUGUGGCAAUGGGAUUGUUGUUCUCUCUUUUCUGCGUCUUUGCUUUGAUUAUAGUUGUUCUAGAGGCGAAGAAGAGAAAGAAAAAGAAAGAUUCAGUUCUCGACGUCGUCUACAUCGACAAUCAUUCACACUCAGGAACAGCAAAUACUAGCUGGAAGCUCACCGGAGCACGAGAAGCAUUGAGCAUUAACCUUGCGACCUUUGAGAAGCCAUUGCGGAAGCUCACAUUUGCAGAUCUUCUUGAAGCUACAAACGGCUUCCACAAUGACAGCCUUAUAGGCUCUGGAGGUUUUGGUGAUGUAUACAAGGCUCAACUGAAAGAUGGAAACAUUGUAGCCAUCAAGAAAUUGAUACACAUCAGUGGACAAGGUGAUAGAGAAUUCACUGCAGAAAUGGAAACCAUUGGGAAGAUCAAGCACCGAAACCUCGUUCCACUUCUCGGAUACUGCAAAGUUGGAGAAGAGCGGCUAUUGGUGUACGAGUACAUGAAGUAUGGAAGCUUAGACGAUGUUCUUCAUGACCAGAAGAAAGCUGGAAUCAAGUUGAACUGGGCUGCCAGGAGAAAGAUUGCCAUUGGAGCUGCUAGAGGAUUAGCUUUUCUUCAUCACAACUGCAUACCACAUAUCAUUCACAGGGACAUGAAAUCAAGUAAUGUGUUGCUUGACGAGAACUUGGAGGCCAGAGUGUCUGAUUUUGGAAUGGCGAGGCUCAUGAAUGCGGUCGAUACGCAUCUGAGUGUUAGCACAUUAGCAGGAACACCAGGCUAUGUUCCUCCUGAAUAUUAUCAGAGCUUUAGAUGUUCUACAAAAGGUGAUGUUUAUAGCUAUGGUGUAGUUUUGCUUGAGUUGCUAACGGGAAAAAGGCCAACAGAUUCAGCUGAUUUCGGCGACAACAAUCUUGUGGGGUGGGUUAAACAGCAUGCAAAAUUGAAAAUAACAGACGUUUUUGACCCAGAACUUGUGAAAGAAGAUCCAAAUCUAAAGAUUGAGCUUUUACGACACUUAGAUGUGGCUUGUGCUUGUUUGGAUGAUCGACCAUGGAGACGACCGACGAUGAUUCAAGUUAUGGCAAUGUUCAAAGAAAUACAAGCAGGGUCAGGCCUCGACUCACAAUCCACCAUUGCUACCGAAGACGCAGGCUUCCAAAUGGUAGAGAUGAGCAUAAAAGAAGACCCUGAACCAGGCAAGUAGCAGGUAAUAAAAAGAACAAGCUGAAUGAAAAUUUUCCAGUGAAUUCUUUGAAAGAAAAGAAGAAAGAAAGUGAGGAUGAUUGAUUCUGCUGCCAUGAAAUUUUCCCACUUAUCUUCCCACUCGAAAAUGGCAACUUGUCUUUGUAUCUCUCUACCAUUCAAUUUUAUAUAAAAAUCAUGAAAGCAAGAAGAUGAAGAACUGCUGCUGCUGCUGUGAGCUCAAUGAUGGUGACCAAGUGGAGUCUUCUGGUCCUUUCUGAGGCUGCCUCUCUCUCUCUCUCUCGCAGCUUUUGUUUCUGUUUGAGAAUUAUGGUAAUGUCGAAAAGAGUCCCUAUAUUUCUGCAACUUUAACCAAUACAUCAAUUCUCCUUUUUCAUUUCUA